UGAGCUUCAGGCAGCCAAAACCAGAU
rnacentral:piRNA from 1 species